UACAGAGGUGCCAAGCGUUAGGCGGAAUCACUGGGCUUAAAGCGCGUGUAGGCGGGUCGUUAAGUGUCCGAGUGAAAUCCCACGGCUCAACCGUGGAACUGCCGGGCAUACUGGCGAUCUUGAGGCAUUCAGGGGCGAGCGGAACAAAUGGUGGAGCGGUAAAAUGCGUAGAUAUCAUCUGGAACGCCAAUGGUGAAGACAGCUCGCUGGGGGUGUACUGACACUGAGACACGAAAGCCAGGGGAGCAAACGGG
rnacentral:rRNA from 1 species